AAAUGCGAUAAGUAACGUGAAUUGCAGAAUUCAGUGAAUCAUCGAAUCUUUGAACGCACCUUGCGCUCCUUGGUAUUCCUUGGAGCAUGCCUGUUUGAGUAUCAUGAAAUCUUCAAAGUAAAUCUUUUGUUAACUCAAUUGGUUUCUACUUUGGUAUUGGAGGUCUUUGCAGCUUCACACCUGCUCCUCUUUGUUCAUUAGCUGGAUCUCAGUGUUAUGCUUGGUUCCACUCGGCGUGAUAAGUUAUCUAUCGCUGAGGACACUGUAAAAGGUGGCCAAGGUAAAUGCAGAUGAACCGCUUCUAAUAGUCCAUUGACUUGGACAAUACUUUUAUGAUCUGAUCUCAAAUCAGGUAGGACUACCCGCUGAACUUAAGC
rnacentral:misc_RNA from 1 species